rnacentral:lncRNA from 1 species
UUGCUGUCUUCUUUCUGCAAAGGGAUUUUCCUGAAUCUGUAAUCUGAACACUUUGACCUGUGAGGGUUUUUCCCCCAACUAGGAGCAAAUCUGUGAGGCUUGACCCUUUGUGUGCUGUGGAGCAGAGACAAUGCCCUUCUGUGAAUGUCUUCUCCUCUUGAGGACAGUAGUAAUUGGCGACAGGAAUGUUAAUCAUUUGGCAAGCGCUUCUUCAUGGCCUUGCUGCCCUUUGCCACUGCAGCCAGCUCCCUGCUUGCCUCUACUCCCUCGAGAAUGGAGCCGCCAUUUUGUAGCAGCUUUCUAGAGAAGUUUUUUUCAAGAGCACUUUGAGAGUUGACAGUCUGACUUAAACUGAGGUCCAUGAAAGCUGGGUUCAGCCAGAGCAGGGCAGAGGAUGGCCAGAGGAGAAGAGGGCAGAGAGACGAUGGGAAGACAAGACGACCCUCUCUGCUGAGAGCUUCAGAGACCUGCAGAGACAUCCAAAUGACCUGCCUGCAGAGAGGAGCCAACCCCUCCAGGGCCUCCUCUCUGCUGAGAGCUGAACACUCCAUGGGAUGAUCUGCCUGCAAAGAGGAGCUACCCACUGUGGGUCUCCUCUGAGCUGUUUUAA